GACGAACGCUGGCGGCGUGCUUAACACAUGCAAGUCGAACGGAAAGGCCCUGCUUUUGUGGGGUGCUCGAGUGGCGAACGGGUGAGUAACACGUGAGUAACCUGCCCUUGACUUUGGGAUAACUUCAGGAAACUGGGGCUAAUACCGGAUAGGAGCUCCUGCUGCAGGGUGGGGGUUGGAAAGUUUCGGCGGUUGGGGAUGGACUCGCGGCUUAUCAGCUUGUUGGUGGGGUAGUGGCUUACCAAGGCUUUGACGGGUAGCCGGCCUGAGAGGGUGACCGGCGACAUUGGGACUGAGAUACGGCCCAGAGUCCUACGGGAGGCAGCAGUGGGGAAUAUUGCACAAUGGGCGGAAGCCUGAUGCAGCAACGCCGCGUGCGGGAUGACGGCCUUCGGGUUGUAAACAGCUUUCGCCUGUGACGAAGCGUGAGUGACGGUAACGGGUAAAGAAGCACCGGCUAACUACGUG
rnacentral:rRNA from 1 species